GCCCCGGUAGCUCAGCUGGAUAGAGUGGCCCCCUCCUAAGGGGCAAGUCACAGGUUCGACUCCUGUUCGGGGCACCA
rnacentral:tRNA from 1 species